rnacentral:rRNA from 1 species
GGAAACGGGGUCUAAUACCGGAUACUGACCUGCCAAGGCAUCUUGGCGGGUCGAAAGCUCCGGCGGUGCAGGAUGAGCCCGCGGCCUAUCAGCUUGUUGGUGAGGUAAUGGCUCACCAAGGCGACGACGGGUAGCCGGCCUGAGAGGGCGACCGGCCACACUGGGACUGAGACACGGCCCAGACUCCUACGGGAGGCAGCAGUGGGGAAUAUUGCACAAUGGGCGAAAGCCUGAUGCAGCGACGCCGCGUGAGGGAUGACGGCCUUCGGGUUGUAAACCUCUUUCAGCAGGGAAGAAGCGAAAGUGACGGUACCUGCAGAAGAAGCGCCGGCUAACUACGUGCCAGCAGCCGCGGUAAUACGUAGGGCGCAAGCGUUGUCCGGAAUUAUUGGGCGUAAAGAGCUCGUAGGCGGCUUGUCGCGUCGGUUGUGAAAGCCCGGGGCUUAACCCCGGGUCUGCAGUCGAUACGGGCAGGCUAGAGUUCGGUAGGGGAGAUCGGAAUUCCUGGUGUAGCGGUGAAAUGCGCAGAUAUCAGGAGGAACACCGGUGGCGAAGGCGGAUCUCUGGGCCGAUACUGACGCUGAGGAGCGAAAGCGUGGGGAGCGAACAGGAUUAGAUACCCUGGUAGUCCACGCCGU